UUAAGCGACUAAGCGUACACGGUGGAUGCCCUGGCAGUCAGAGGCGAUGAAGGACGUGCUAAUCUGCGAUAAGCGUCGGUGAGGUGAUAUGAACCGUUAUAACCGGCGAUUUCCGAAUGGGGAAACCCAGUGUGUUUCGUCACACUAUCAUUAACUGAAUCCAUAGGUUAAUGAGGCGAACCGGGGGAACUGAAACAUCUAAGUACCCCGAGGAAAAGAAAUCAACCGAGAUUCCCCCAGUAGCGGCGAGCGAACGGGGAGGAGCCCAGAGCCUGAAUCAGUGUGUGUGUUAGUGGAAGCGUCUGGAAAGGCGCGCGAUACAGGGUGACAGCCCCGUACACAAAAAUGCACAUACUGUGAGCUCGAUGAGUAGGGCGGGACACGUGGUAUCCUGUCUGAAUAUGGGGGGACCAUCCUCCAAGGCUAAAUACUCCUGACUGACCGAUAGUGAACCAGUACCGUGAGGGAAAGGCGAAAAGAACCCCGGCGAGGGGAGUGAAAAAGAACCUGAAACCGUGUACGUACAAGCAGUGGGAGCCUCUUAAUGGGGUGACUGCGUACCUUUUGUAUAAUGGGUCAGCGACUUAUAUUCUGUAGCAAGGUUAACCGAAUAGGGGAGCCGAAGGGAAACCGAGUCUUAACUGGGCGUUAAGUUGCAGGGUAUAGACCCGAAACCCGGUGAUCUAGCCAUGGGCAGGUUGAAGGUUGGGUAACACUAACUGGAGGACCGAACCGACUAAUGUUGAAAAAUUAGCGGAUGACUUGUGGCUGGGGGUGAAAGGCCAAUCAAACCGGGAGAUAGCUGGUUCUCCCCGAAAGCUAUUUAGGUAGCGCCUCGUGAAUUCAUCUCCGGGGGUAGAGCACUGUUUCGGCAAGGGGGUCAUCCCGACUUACCAACCCGAUGCAAACUGCGAAUACCGGAGAAUGUUAUCACGGGAGACACACGGCGGGUGCUAACGUCCGUCGUGAAGAGGGAAACAACCCAGACCGCCAGCUAAGGUCCCAAAGUCAUGGUUAAGUGGGAAACGAUGUGGGAAGGCCCAGACAGCCAGGAUGUUGGCUUAGAAGCAGCCAUCAUUUAAAGAAAGCGUAAUAGCUCACUGGUCGAGUCGGCCUGCGCGGAAGAUGUAACGGGGCUAAACCAUGCACCGAAGCUGCGGCAGCGACGCUUAUGCGUUGUUGGGUAGGGGAGCGUUCUGUAAGCCUGUGAAGGUGGCCUGUGAGGGUUGCUGGAGGUAUCAGAAGUGCGAAUGCUGACAUAAGUAACGAUAAAGCGGGUGAAAAGCCCGCUCGCCGGAAGACCAAGGGUUCCUGUCCAACGUUAAUCGGGGCAGGGUGAGUCGACCCCUAAGGCGAGGCCGAAAGGCGUAGUCGAUGGGAAACAGGUUAAUAUUCCUGUACUUGGUGUUACUGCGAAGGGGGGACGGAGAAGGCUAUGUUGGCCGGGCGACGGUUGUCCCGGUUUAAGCGUGUAGGCUGGUUUUCCAGGCAAAUCCGGAAAAUCAAGGCUGAGGCGUGAUGACGAGGCACUACGGUGCUGAAGCGACAAAUGCCCUGCUUCCAGGAAAAGCCUCUAAGCAUCAGGUAACAUUAAAUCGUACCCCAAACCGACACAGGUGGUCAGGUAGAGAAUACCAAGGCGCUUGAGAGAACUCGGGUGAAGGAACUAGGCAAAAUGGUGCCGUAACUUCGGGAGAAGGCACGCUGAUAUGUAGGUGAAGCGACUUGCUCGUGGAGCUGAAAUCAGUCGAAGAUACCAGCUGGCUGCAACUGUUUAUUAAAAACACAGCACUGUGCAAACACGAAAGUGGACGUAUACGGUGUGACGCCUGCCCGGUGCCGGAAGGUUAAUUGAUGGGGUUAGCGGUAACGCGAAGCUCUUGAUCGAAGCCCCGGUAAACGGCGGCCGUAACUAUAACGGUCCUAAGGUAGCGAAAUUCCUUGUCGGGUAAGUUCCGACCUGCACGAAUGGCGUAAUGAUGGCCAGGCUGUCUCCACCCGAGACUCAGUGAAAUUGAACUCGCUGUGAAGAUGCAGUGUACCCGCGGCAAGACGGAAAGACCCCGUGAACCUUUACUAUAGCUUGACACUGAACAUUGAGCCUUGAUGUGUAGGAUAGGUGGGAGGCUUUGAAGUGUGGACGCCAGUCUGCAUGGAGCCGACCUUGAAAUACCACCCUUUAAUGUUUGAUGUUCUAACGUGGGCCCCUUACCGGGGUUGCGGACAGUGUCUGGUGGGUAGUUUGACUGGGGCGGUCUCCUCCUAAAGAGUAACGGAGGAGCACGAAGGUUGGCUAAUCCUGGUCGGACAUCAGGAGGUUAGUGCAAUGGCAUAAGCCAGCUUGACUGCGAGCGUGACGGCGCGAGCAGGUGCGAAAGCAGGUCAUAGUGAUCCGGUGGUUCUGAAUGGAAGGGCCAUCGCUCAACGGAUAAAAGGUACUCCGGGGAUAACAGGCUGAUACCGCCCAAGAGUUCAUAUCGACGGCGGUGUUUGGCACCUCGAUGUCGGCUCAUCACAUCCUGGGGCUGAAGUAGGUCCCAAGGGUAUGGCUGUUCGCCAUUUAAAGUGGUACGCGAGCUGGGUUUAGAACGUCGUGAGACAGUUCGGUCCCUAUCUGCCGUGGGCGCUGGAGAACUGAGGGGGGCUGCUCCUAGUACGAGAGGACCGGAGUGGACGCAUCACUGGUGUUCGGGUUGUCAUGCCAAUGGCACUGCCCGGUAGCUAAAUGCGGAAGAGAUAAGUGCUGAAAGCAUCUAAGCACGAAACUUGCCCCGAGAUGAGUUCUCCCUGACUCCUUGAGAGUCCUGAAGGAACGUUGAAGACGACGACGUUGAUAGGCCGGGUGUGUAAGCGCAGCGAUGCGUUGAGCUAACCGGUACUAAUGAACCGUGAGGCUUAACCUU
rnacentral:rRNA from 1 species